rnacentral:rRNA from 1 species
UGGGGAAUUUUGGACAAUGGGCGAAAGCCUGAUCCAGCAAUGCCGCGUGUGUGAAGAAGGCCUUCGGGUUGUAAAGCACUUUUGUCCGGAAAGAAAUCCUUGGCUCUAAUACAGUCGGGGGAUGACGGUACCGGAAGAAUAAGCACCGGCUAACUACGUGCCAGCAGCCGCGGUAAUACGUAGGGUGCAAGCGUUAAUCGGAAUUACUGGGCGUAAAGCGUGCGCAGGCGGUUUGCUAAGACCGAUGUGAAAUCCCCGGGCUCAACCUGGGAACUGCAUUGGUGACUGGGCAGGCUAGAGUAUGGCAGAGGGGGGUAGAAUUCCACGUGUAGCAGUGAAAUGCGUAGAGAUGUGGAGGAAUACCGAUGGCGAAGGCAGCCCCCUGGGCCAAUACUGACGCUCAUGCACGAAAGCGUGGGGAGCAAACAGGAUUAGAU